rnacentral:rRNA from 1 species
UCCGUAGGUGACCUGCGGAAGGAUCAUUACAGAGUUCAUGCCCGAAAGGGUAGACCUCCCACCCUUGUGUAUUAUUACUUUGUUGCUUUGGCGAGCUGCCUUCGGGCCUUGUAUGCUCGCCAGAGAAAACCAAAACUCUUUUUAUUAAUGUCGUCUGAGUACUAUAUAAUAGUUAAAACUUUCAACAACGGAUCUCUUGGUUCUGGCAUCGAUGAAGAACGCAGCGAAAUGCGAUAAGUAAUGUGAAUUGCAGAAUUCAGUGAAUCAUCGAAUCUUUGAACGCACAUUGCGCCCCUUGGUAUUCCGGGGGGCAUGCCUGUUCGAGCGUCAUUUCAACCCUCAAGCUUAGCUUGGUAUUGAGUCUAUGUCAGUAAUGGCAGGCUCUAAAAUCAGUGGCGGCGCCGCUGGGUCCUGAACGUAGUAAUAUCUCUCGUUACAGGUUCUCGGUGUGCUUCUGCCAAAACCCAAAUUUUUCUAUGGUUGACCUCGGAUCAGGUAGGGAUACCCGCUGAACUUAAGCAUAUAAAA